rnacentral:rRNA from 1 species
AACGAACGCUGGCGGCAGGCUUAACACAUGCAAGUCGAGCGCCCCGCAAGGGGAGCGGCAGACGGGUGAGUAACGCGUGGGAACGUACCCUUUGCUACGGAAUAGCUCCGGGAAACUGGAAUUAAUACUGUAUGUGCCCUACGGGGGAGAGAUUUAUCGGCAAAGGAUCGGCCCGCGUUGGAUUAGCUAGUUGGUGGGGUAAUGGCCUACCAAGGCGACGAUCCAUAGCUGGUCUGAGAGGAUGAUCAGCCACAUUGGGACUGAGACACGGCCCAAACUCCUACGGGAGGCAGCAGUGGGGAAUAUUGGACAAUGGGCGCAAGCCUGAUCCAGCCAUGCCGCGUGAGUGAUGAAGGCCUUAGGGUUGUAAAGCUCUUUCACCGGAGAAGAUAAUGACGGUAUCCGGAGAAGAAGCCCCGGCUAACUUCGUGCCAGCCGCCGCGGUAAUAC